UUGAGCAGCGUGACGUGGCUGCCGUUGAGCAGCUGCCUCAAUCACCGGUCUGCCACUUUACAUGCUGUUCGGCUAGACCAGACGUAAAUCACAUUCUAGAGCACUUUUCAGUAUCUCCCGGAGGCAAUCUGGCUCUAAGGCAUUGAAGUUGGGGGGGAAGAAGUCUCCUUUUCCAACUAAACCGGAGUUGCUCUAUGUUCAUCCAACUCAGGUUUGGCAUUCACUAUGAUGGAGAGGAAGAGCGUGAAGGUCUUCUAUUACCAAAUUAAAAAUCAAGGUUUCUAUGUUGAACUGGACUCUGGUUGAAUCAAAGAAAAAGUUGGUUGAUACUGUGAAAUGGUGAGGCAAUUUCUCAAUAUCCAAUGUGUGCCUAAGCACGAUGAUCGAAAAGAUGCGACUUGGCCCUAGAAGCCUCUGCUCCAAACUGGCUCCUGUUAUUCAGUUCUGUGAGUGAUCAGAGCAGUUGAUGGGAUUUCACCAUGAUAUGCAUUCUUUUUGUGCUCUCCUCCAUAAGUUGCUUUCCAAGAAUAUGUUUGCCCCUGCCAACAGAGUUUUUGACAAAAUGAUUGGUUAUUGCAUCGUGAGUUCUUCUGAUUUAUCUGUUCCAAUUUGUGAUGGUUUGAGGACGUAUGGUGCAAAUGGAAAAUUGGGAGUGGCAUGUAGCUUCUUGCUUGAUGGUUACCGCAGAUAUAGAAUGGUCAACCAAUGCAUGCGUACGUUUCACUAUAUGUGCGAAUUGCGCAUUGUGGUAUCACAUUCCUCAUUAUCAGGGAUGUUGGAUUUUUUGGUUGAUGUGAAUCGUGCUGAUGAAGUUAUCGGUAUUUACAAGUCCAUGUGCAAAUCAUUUGGAAGUCAGUGUCAUAGAGCUAUUUAUGAGCAUGUGAUGGAUAGGUUCUUGAAGAGGGGGGAAAUUGAAAGAGGUUGGAAUUUUCAUCAUGCGGUGAUUGAUGGUCGCGUUGUCCUCGAUAUCAUAGCGUGUAACAAGAUUAUGAGAGCUCUUUGUGAGAGGAGUCAGAGCAAUUUAGCUCUUCGAUAUUUGAAAAUGUUACAAGUAACUGGUCCAGAGCCAUCGGUAGCGUCUUUCAGUAUUUUGGUCAAUGGUUUCUGUAAGGAGGGUAGGCUAGACAAGGCAUUUGAGGUGAAUGAGCUCAUGGCAAAGAAUGGUGUCGAUCCCGAUCUUGUAACUUAUACUAUUCUCAUUGGUGGUCUUCUAAAAGCUAAAAAGUUGGAUAAGGGUUAUGCUCUUCUCUCGGAGGCAUUGAAUAAAGGUAUUGAGUUCGAUGUAGUGACUUAUAGUUCGAUUAUGGAUGCAUUUUUGAAAAAUGGAGAUUUGAGAAGGGCUGCCGUGUUGCAUAAAAGAUGUUUGAAGGCUGGGAUCAAACCAAAUAUGAUCACGUAUGGCAUUCUUAUCAAUGGGAUGUGUCUGAAUGAUAGGAUAAUGGAGGCAUGUGGGAUGUUUGGUCAUAUGUUGAAGCUUGGUUAUGUACCUUCUCUCUGGACCUAUAGCAGUCUUCUCGGAGGCUUGUGCAAAUUUGGAUACUUAAGGGAUGGUUUUAGGUUGUAUGAUGAUAUAAUGAUGAGUGGUGAAGAGCCUGAUAUCGUUGUCUAUAAUGUGCUAAUAAAUGGUCUUUGCAAGCGAGGCUUGAUGGCUGAUGCUCUCAGAUUCUUUUAUCAAAGUGUUGGCCAUGGGCUUAAUCCGAAUGUCUUUGUUUUUAACUCCUUGAUAAACGGCUGGUUUAAAUUAAGAUGUAUUACAAAUGCUCUAAAGGUGUAUAGCCAGAUGGGUUGUUAUGGCGUAAGACCUGAUGUUGUGACUCAAACCAUGCUCAUAAGUGCGCUUAUUGAGUUGGGAAGACUGAAUUAUGCUUUGCUUCUUUUUUUCCAAUUAUUGAAGAAGGGUUUCUCACCAGACGUUGUAACUUAUUGCACUCUUAUUGAUGGUGCAUGCAAGCAACAUAACUCAACUCUUGGGUUAGAGAUUUUCAAGAUGAUGCAGUGGAAUGGAGUGAUAGCAGAUAUUGCUAUAUAUAAUGUUCUCAUUAACGUGUUGUUUAAGGAGGCUCGUCUAGGGGAGGCUCUGCAGCUUUUUGAUCAAGUUAAAGAAAGAGGCUUAGAGCCUGAUAUUGUGACAUACAAUACUGUGAUCUGCGGGUAUUGCUCUUUGAAAAUGCUGGGCGAGGCUGUUCAACUUUUUGAGAAGCUUAAUUAUGGACAACUAAAACCGAAUACCAUAACAUUUACAAUUCUAAUCGAUGCUCAUUGCAAAGAAGGUAAAAUCGAUGGAGCAAUGUCUUUGUUCAGAGAAAUGCUGGAAAAGGGUCCAGAACCUAAUCUCAUCUCUUACAGUUGUCUAAUUGAUGGGUACUUUAAAUCUCAGAACCUUGAGAAUGCCUUUGAACUUUAUGAGGAGAUGCUAAAUAGGAAGAUUUCUCCAAAUAUAGUUUGUUAUAGCAUUCUUAUUGAUGGUCUUUGUAAAAGGCGACUCAUGACGGAAGCAGCGCUUGCGUUUUAUUGUGCUAAAGACAGGCAUUUAGUGCCUGAUGUAAUAGCAUAUGCCAUUUUGAUUCUUGGCUAUUGCAAAGUUGGAAGUAUAGAGGAAGGCCAGAUUUGGUAUGAACGCAUGUUAAGAGACGGGAUAGUGCCGGAUGAUGUCAUGAAAACAACAAUUCUGGAGCCUUAUCUUGAGCUUGAUUAGUUCUGAAUUUUUCCCUACAAAUACAGUUAUGGAUCUCGUACAUGCAUUCAUUGGCUGGACAACGUUUUGGAGAAAUAGUUGGAAGUUCAUAUCGCAUGGUUUGGAGAUGCUAGCAGGGUGAGGGACCAGAGCUUGAUGCAUCUAGGGCGGGCACUGCGUUUUUUUGAGCUGGCUAGUACUUUCCUUCACAUUGAUUAUUUCGCUUUGCCAAGGUAUCAAUUCUGGCUUUCUUUUUUCUUUUUGGGUUGCAUCUGCUAAGAUGGGCAGUAUCAUAUUUAUCUAGCAGAACUGGAGAAGGAAUUGCAAGGCCAGUCAGUGAUGGGGCAACACAAAUAUUGACGAGGAUCGUUGGCUAAACCAUUGUGGAGAGGAUGGGCGUUAUCCUUAUUCCUGCUAACCAUU